rnacentral:tRNA from 1 species
GGCAGUGUAGCACAGUGGGUAAGGAACUGGGCUUGUAUCCGAAAGGUCAUAGGUUCGAUUCCCAGCUAGGACA